AGUAUUUUGACUAUACAAAGGUAUUGUAAUAAGAUUUUAAUUGAAUGCUAAAAGAAUGGAAAUUUAAAAAAAAACUUUUUUAAAAAUAAAAAUUGAAUUUUUUUUAAUUUGUGCAAAAACAAUUAUAUUUAUUAAAGACAAGAAGACCCUAAGAAUUUAAGAUUUUACAAUUAAAAAGUUUUUUUUUUUAAAAUCUUGAUUGGGGCGAUCAAAAAAUAUUAAUAACUUUUUAAAAUUUAAAUUGAUCUAUUAUUAAUAAACUAAUGAAUUAAAUACUCUAGGGAUAACAGCGUAAUAAUUUUUGAUAGAUCUUAUUGACAAAAUAGUUUGCGACCUCGAUGUUGGAUUAGGAUUCUUUUUUAAUGAAGAAGUUAAAAAAAGAAGUUUGUUCAACUUUUAAAUUCCU
rnacentral:rRNA from 2 species